AUUGAACGCUGGCGGCAGGCCUAACACAUGCAAGUCGAACGAGUGGCGGACGGGUGAGUAAUGUCUGGGAAACUGCCCGAUGGAGGGGGAUAACUACUGGAAACGGUAGCUAAUACCGCAUACCAUCGGAUGUGCCCAGAUGGGAUUAGCUAGGAGGUGGGGUAAAGGCUAACCUAGGCGACGAUCCCUAGCUGGUCUGAGAGGAUGACCAGCCAACCUGGGACUGAGACACGGCCCAGACUCCUAAGGGAGGCAGCAGUAGGGAAUAUUGCACAAUGGGCGCAAGCCUGAUGCAGCCAUGCCGCGUGUAUGAAGAAGGCCUUCGGGUUGUAAAGUACUUUCAGCGGGGAGGCGUUACCCGCAGAAGAAGCACCGGCUAACUCCGUGCCAGCAGCCGCGGUAAUAC
rnacentral:rRNA from 1 species